GACGGAGGAUGCAAGUGUUAUCCGGAAUCAUUGGGCGUAAAGCGUCUGUAGGUGGUUCGAAAAGUCCACUGUUAAAGAUUGAGGCUUAACUUCAAAAAUGCCGUGGAAACUUUCAGACUAGAGUAUGGUAGGGGUAGAGGGAAUUUCCAGUGGAGCGGUGAAAUGCGUAGAUAUUGGAAAGACCACCGAUGGCGAAGGCACUCUACUGGGCCAUUACUGACACUGAGAGACGAAAGCUAGGGGAGCAAAUGGG
rnacentral:rRNA from 1 species